CGGAUGCACUGUAAGUCUGUGAAUGGACUUGCUAAUGCUGGCUCUCACUUCUGACGAACAAGGUGUGUGGACUUACGUUUGCUGGACAGAAGCUUCUCAAAAGACUGUUUCCACAUCAGACAUUCCUCCAAGGUCAACCUGCAAAGAUGCUGCUCAAGUCUUGUCUCUGCAGAAAUCCACCUACGCAUGCCUUUAAUCUUUUGGCCCUGAUGUUAGAA